GGGCUCACACAAGCGGUGGAGCAUGUGGUUUAAUUCGAUGCAACACGAAGAACCUUACCAGGGUUUGAAAUCAUUUCAAAACUCCUUGAAAGAGGAGCCUCCUUCGGGAUGAAAUGACAGGUGGUGCAUGGCUGUCGUCAGCUCGUGUUGUGAAAUGUCGAGUUAAGUCUCGUAACGAGCGCAACCCAUGUCUCUUGUUGCUCACUGAGUGCUUAAGAGAGACUGCCGACCAACAUCGGAGGAAGGUGUGGAUGAUGUCAAGUCAGCAUGCCCCUUACAUCCUGGGCUACACACGUACUACAAUGGUAGGGACAAUGAGCUGCGAUCCUGCGAAGGCUAGCCAAUCUCAAAAACCCUAUCUCAGUUCGGAUUGUACUCUGCAACUCGAGUACAUGAAGGUGGAAUCGCUAGUAA
rnacentral:rRNA from 1 species